CCCAUCGAAGACCUGCGGGACAAGAUUCUUGGUGUCACCACUGAGAACUCCAGGAUUGUCUUGCAGACCGACAAC
rfam:Pongo abelii chromosome 12.